rnacentral:rRNA from 1 species
CGCCAAACAGCUAGCUCAACCGUCCUCUAACAAACCACUUUAAACUACCACCAAAAAUACCUCCACCCUUUAAACAAACCAUUUUUCCCCCAAAGUACGGGAGACGAAACAGGAACUACGAAGCAAUAGAGAAAGUACCGUAAGGGAAAGCUGAAAGAGAAAGUGAAACAACUCAGUCAAGCACUUAGAAGCAGAGACCAGACCUCGUACCUUUUGCAUCAUGAUUUAGCAAGAAAUAAUUAAGCAAAAAGUAUUUUAGUUUAAACCCCCGAAACUAGGGGAGCUACUCCAAGACAGCCUAACACAUAGGGCAACCCCGUCUCUGUGGCAAAAGAGUGGGAAGAACUUCGAGUAGAGGUGACAGACCUACCGAACCUAGUUAUAGCUGGUUGCCUGAGAACUGAAUAGAAGUUCAACCCUCAAUACUCUUCCCCCUCACACCUGAGAACCCAUUCUCAAUACACAAGCAUAUAAAGAAUUUGAGGAGAAAGUCAAAGGAGGAACAGCUCCUUUGAAUUAAGAUACAACUUUUCAAGCAGGGUACAGAUCAUAGACCUAAACAGGACCCAUGCCCCCGUGGGCCUAAAAGCAGCCACCAAAAUAGAACGAAAGCGUUAAAGCUCAGGCAUGAGACACCCCACAAUCCCGACAACACAAUCUGAACCCGCCACACCUAUCAGGCCACCCCAUUCCCUCAAACUAUGGGAGCGAUUAUGCUAAUAUGAGUAAUAAGAGGGCCGAGGCUCUCUCCCCUGCACCCGUAUAAGUCGGAACGAACCCCCACCGAAAAUUAACGGCCCCAAACAAAGAGGGUAAUGGAUUCUAAAACCUAUCACAAGAAAAGCAUUCACUUAUCUAACCGUUAACCCCACACUGGUGUGCAUCUAACUGAAAGACAAAAAGAAAAAGAAGGAACUCGGCAAACACAAGCCUCGCCUGUUUACCAAAAACAUCGCCUCUUGCUAACCACCCAUAAGAGGUCCCGCCUGCCCCGUGACUACACGUUUAACGGCCGCGGUAUCCUAACCGUGCAAAGGUAGCGCAAUCACUUGUCUUUUAAAUGAAGACCCGUAUGAAUGGCACCACGAGGGCUUAACUGUCUCCUUUAUCCUGUCAAUGAAAUUGAUCUCCCCGUGCAGAAGCGGGGAUAAACACAUAAGACGAGAAGACCCUGUGGAACUUCAGGCUUUUAGCAGACUAUGUAAAACAACCAAUAAAAACUUGAACAGAACUAAUUAGCCCCUGCUCACACAUGCCUUCGGUUGGGGCGACCAUGGGAAAACAAAAACCCCCCACGUGGACCAGGAGCACAUAUUAAUCCCUCCCCUCCUGCAACCCAGGGCUACAGCCCUAAGUAACACAACCUUUGACCUACCUGAUCCGGCACAGACCGAUCAACGAACCCAGCUACCCCAGGGAUAACAGCGCAAUCCCCUCCCAGAGCCCAUAUCGACGAGAGGGUUUACGACCUCGAUGUUGGAUCAGGACAUCCUAUUGGUGCAGCCGCUAUUAAGGGUUCGUUUGUUCAACGAUUAAAGUCCUACGUGAUCUGAGUUCAGACCGGAGCAAUCCAGGUCAGUUUCUACCUAUGCCAUGCUCUUUUCCAGUACGAAAGGACCAAAAAGAGGGGGUCCAUGCCCCAACACACCCCACCCCAAUUUAAUGAAAACAACUAAAAUAGAUAAAAGGACAUUCAUCCCAGCUCAAGAGAAUAGCU